UUUAUAUUAAAAUUUAAAAUAGUACACAAAAGUAUUAUUAACAAUUAAUUAUUAUUUUUGAACUUUUCAUUUUAUUUCAUAUGAUUUAUUAGUAUAGCUACAAGUAGGGGUGCCAAAAUGGGUAAUCCAACUCAACUCAACUCAUAAUCAAAUGAGUUUAGGGUUAAAUGAGUUAUGGGUUGACCCAACCCAUUUAACAAAAUGAGUUGGGUCAACCCAUAAAUCAUUUAAUUAUUAUAGGUUGAGUUGUUAAAUGGGUUAACCUAUUUUAGUAAUAAUUUAAUUAAUUAUUAUUAUAAAACAAUAAUAAAUAAUA
rnacentral:sRNA from 1 species